rnacentral:rRNA from 1 species
UACGUAGGGGGCGAGCGUUGUCCGGAGUUACUGGGCGUAAAGGGCGCGCAGGCGGUCUGGUAAGUUUGGAGUGACAGUGCUCGGCUUAACUGAGCAAGGCCUUCGAAAACUGCUAGACUUGAGCACUCAAGAGGGACAUAGAAUUCCGGGUGGAGUGGUGAAAUGCGUAGAUAUCCGGAGGAAUACCAAAGGCGAAGGCAGUGUCCUGGGGAGUGUCUGACGCUCAGGCACGAAAGCGUGGGGAGCAAAAGGG